AAGCUUUGUAAUUUAUAUAAAAUAUUUACCUUGAAAGUAAAAUAAGAAACCUCCAUUGCUUCGCU
rnacentral:tRNA from 1 species